UACGGGGGGGGCAAGCGUUGUUCGGAAUUACUGGGCGUAAAGCGCACGUAGGCGGACUCUUAAGUCAGGGGUGAAAUCCCGGGGCUCAACCUCGGAACUGCCUUUGAUACUGUGAGUCUCGAGACCGGAAGAGGUGAGUGGAAUUCCUAGUGUAGAGGUGAAAUUCGUAGAUAUUAGGAAGAACACCAGUGGCGAAGGCGGCUCACUGGUCCGGUUCUGACGCUGAGGUGCGAAAGCGUGGGGAGCAAACAGG
rnacentral:rRNA from 1 species